AAAAUUGGCCGGGUCAACCGGCUGUCGGCCACUACUUCCUCAGAAAUUCUGCUGUCUCAACACUAGUAAUUCACACACAUCCGAAAGCCGCCGACGGUUCAAAUCUCUGAAGUCAUAUCAGUAGUCAUUUGCUCCUACUCGCAAUUCUUCACAGCGAGUUCACUGAGGAGUGAGUUAUCCAUAUUUCUCAUAAAGGAAAUAUGAAUAAGAAGAAGAACCCGUUGGUCUUCUUAGACGUAUCCAUUGAUGGGGAUCCUGUGGAAAGAAUUGUCAUUGAGCUGUUUGCUGAUGUUGUCCCCAGAACAGCUGAGAAUUUUAGGGCACUCUGCACAGGUACAAAAGCUCAAAACUUGAUCAUUUUU